UACGGACUGUGCAAACGUUAUUCGGAAUCACUGGGCUUAAAGAGUCCGUAGGCGGCUUGUUAGGUGAGGUGUGAAAUCCCCCGGCUCAACCGAGGAAUUGCGCUUCAAACCGGCAAGCUCGAUGAGGAUAGAGGUGGGCGGAACUGAUGGUGGAGCGGUGAAAUGCGUUGAUAUCAUCAGGAACACCGGAGGCGAAAGCGGUCCACUGGGUCCUUUCUGACGCUGAGGGACGAAAGCUAGGGGAGCGAACGGG
rnacentral:rRNA from 1 species